rnacentral:lncRNA from 1 species
CACCGGUUUACAAGUACAAAUCGCCACCUCCACCGGUCCAUUACUAUUCACCUCCAUAUUACUACAAGUCACCUCCACCUCCCUCACCAGUUUACAAGUACAAUUCCCCACCUCCACCAGUCCACCAUUAUGAUCCUCCAUAUUACUACAAGUCACCUCCACCUCCCUCACCAGUUUACAAGUACAACUCCCCACCUCCACCAGUCCACCAUUACGAUCCUCCAUAUUACUACAAGUCACCUCCACCUCCCUCACCGGUUUACAAGUACAACUCCCCACCUCCACCAGUCCAUUAUUAUUCACCUCCAUAUUACUACAAAUCACCCCCUACUCCUGUGAAAUCGCCACCACCUCCAUACUACUAUAAAUCACCGCCUCCUCCCUCACCAGUUUAUAAGUAUAGCUCACCACCUCCACCAGUCCACCAUUAUGAUCCUCCAUAUAACUACAAGUCACCUCCACCGCCUUCACCUGUUUACAAGUACAACUCCCCACCUCCACCAGUCCAUUAUUAUUCACCUCCAUAUUACUACAAAUCACCCCCUCCUCCUGUGAAAUCGCCACCACCUCCUUACUACUAUAAAUCACCUCCUCCUCCCUCACCGGUUUACAAAUACAACUCACCACCUCCACCGGUUUACAAGUACAACUCACCACCUCCGCCAGUCCAUUAUUACUCUCCUCCAUAUUACUAUAAGUCACCUCCACCUCCUUCACCGGUUUACAA